GCAUGUCAUUUAAGUAUAUGCAUUGUUUGAAAAAUAGAGGAUUAGGCGAGAUUAGUUGUUAGAGUUAGAAAUAAAUGCUAUUGGCCUUUAACUUCUGCUUUGGUUGGCUUUGGGUCGCAGGGGCAGAAGGCUGACCGGCAAACCAGGCAAUGAUACCAACCCCAUGGCGCUAGAGGCAGAGGAGAAUGCAAGUCUGCAGCGCGAGAUGAAGUUGUUUAUGGCUAUACACUAAUUGCCAUGGCAACCUUCUAUGCUGGACUUUACCCUUCACACGCUCUUGUUAAGAACCAGUUCCUUUUCCAACUCUUUGAAGUCUUCAACGCCGCAGGGUUUUUCAUCUCCAUUUGGAUAAUGAAAAUCCUCAGCAGGGGUUCCCCAAUCGAGUUUACAUUGAAGCCGCUCCUCUCUUUACUGUGCCUUUUUUACAAACUAGGCGUUGCGAAUAUGUUUUCUUGCCCCAGCUGCACCUGCAGGUUAUGAAUGUGAUGAUGUAAUUCGGUCGGAAACAUGGUAACUCUGUUGUCUAACUGGUGUUUUCGGUCACCCGAAGUUUAUGAAUGUGAUGUAAUUGUGUAGAAACGUGGUACCUUGUUGUGUAACUGGUGUUUUCAAACACCCGAAGUUUAUGAUGUUAAUUAACUGGUGUUUUUGGGCACCUGAAGUUUAUGUAGUGGAUUUGCAAGA